GAUGAACGCUAGCGGCAGGCUUAAUACAUGCAAGUCGAGGGGCAGCAUGAUUGUAGCAAUACAUUUGAUGGCGACCGGCAAACGGGUGCGGAACACGUACACAACCUUCCUAUAAGUGGGGAAUAGCCCAGAGAAAUUUGGAUUAAUACCCCGUAACAUAAUGAUGUGGCAUCACAUUAUUAUUAUAGCUACGGCGCUUAUUGAUGGGUGUGCAGCUGAUUAGAUAGGUGGCGGGGUAACGGCCCACCAAGUCUACGAUCAGUAGCUGAUGUGAGAGCAUGAUCAGCCACACGGGCACUGAGACACGGGCCCGACUCCUACGGGAGGCAGCAGUAAGGAAUAUUGGUCAAUGGACGCAAGUCUGAACCAGCCAUGCCGCGUGAAGGAUUAAGGUCCUCUGGAUUGUAAACUUCUUUUAUCUGGGACGAAAAAAGGCGAUUCUUCGUCACUUGACGGUACCAGAUGAAUAAGCACCGGCUAACUCCGUGCCAGCCGCCGCGGUAACAC
rnacentral:rRNA from 1 species